UACAUAGGGGGCAAGCGUUAUCCGGAAUUAUUGGGUGUAAAGGGUGCGUAGACGGAGAAACAAGUUGGUUGUGAAAUCCCUCGGCUCAACCGAGGAACUGCAACCAAAACUAUUUCCCUUGAGUGUCGGAGAGGAAAGUGGAAUUCCUAGUGUAGCGGUGAAAUGCGUAGAUAUUAGGAGGAACCCCAGUGGCGAAGGCGACUUUCUGGACGAUAACUGACGUUGAGGCACGAAAGUGUGGGGAGCAAACAGG
rnacentral:rRNA from 1 species